GAUGAACGCUGGCGGCGCGCCUAACACAUGCAAGUCGAACGGCACCUAUCUUCGGAUAGAAGCGAGUGGCGAACGGCUGAGUAACACGUGGAGAACCUGCCCCCUCCCCCGGGAUAGCCGCCCGAAAGGACGGGUAAUACCGGAUACCCCCGGGCGCCGCAUGGCGCCCGGGCUAAAGCCCCGACGGGAGGGGAUGGCUCCGCGGCCCAUCAGGUAGACGGCGGGGUGACGGCCCACCGUGCCGACAACGGGUAGCCGGGUUGAGAGACCGACCGGCCAGAUUGGGACUGAGACACGGCCCAGACUCCUACGGGAGGCAGCAGUGGGGAAUCUUGCGCAAUGGGGGGAACCCUGACGCAGCGACGCCGCGUGCGGGACGGAGGCCUUCGGGUCGUAAACCGCUUUCAGCAGGGAAGAGUCAAGACUGUACCUGCAGAAGAAGCCC
rnacentral:rRNA from 1 species